rnacentral:misc_RNA from 1 species
AGUUAAUAGUUCCGGUAACACUGAAAUAAUGGCCGAAGUUCUUGGUAUAUGUUGUCUACUCUGCUGGCUGACUAAUUCAUCACUUCGUAACUCUCUGUACUAGCCUUAAUUAUUUCCAUCCCCCUCUCUCUUAUCCAACAUUAUACAUUGACAAGAACAGGGACACAAUGUCACCCGAAUUCUUCUUCUUCUUUUUCUUCCUCUUCUGUUUUCCCGGUAUCCUCUGUCCACUUCUUGCCCAAACAGCACUUAUAGCACCAAUCCACAAAGAUCCCGAUAGCCUUCUUUACACUGUGACUGUUUAUUUAAAAACUCCUCUUCAACCCACCAAAUUACACCUUGACCUUGGCGCAUCCUUCACCUGGGUCGACUGCUUCAAAGACUACAACUCCACCACUUACCAACACAUCCCCUGCGAUUCUCCUCUCUGCAAUUCCUUCCACACCUUCUCAUGCGCCAACUGUUACGACCCUCCGGGUCCCGCCUGCUCCAACGACAGCUGCUCUAUUUAUCCCGAGAACCCUGUCACUCGCCAGGCCACUGUCGCCAGCGCACUCAUCGACUCGCUCGCAUUGCCUACUGCUGAUGCGUCUGCUCCCGGUCAAAUGGGUCUCAUACCCGAAUUUAUCUUCUCUUGUUCGAGGACCUUUCUCCUUAAUGGACUCGCUAAGGAGGUUACUGGACUUGCCGCACUUGGCAGGUCCAACCAUUCGCUCCCAGCGCAGAUUAGCAACGCCUUCUCUUCUCCUCGCUAUUUUGCGCUGUGUUUGUCAGGCUCAACUUCAGAAGCCGGCGUGGCGUUUUUUGGAACGAGAGGGCCCUACAUGUUUUUGCCAGGGGUUGAUCUGUCGAAGUCGCUUGUUUACACCGGACUAAUUUUGAAUCCGGUGGGGAGCACAGUAAUAUCCUACAACCAACAACCGUCCGAUGAGUAUUACAUAAAUUUGACCAGCAUUAAAGUCAACGGAAAAGCCGUUGAAGUCAACAUCUCGCAGCUGGCCAUCGAUGAGAACGGGUUUGGAGGAACGAAGCUCAGCACCGACACUGCAUAUACCACUUUAGAAAGUUCUAUUUACCAGGCUUUUGUCAAGGCAUUUGUAAAUGAAUCCGCCGGCUUGAACCUGACGGUAACGAGUGCAAUCAAACCUUUUGAUGUAUGCUAUCAAGCGAGUGAUAUUAUUAACACGCUUGUGGGACCGGGUGUCCCGACGGUUGAUCUGGUGAUGGAAAGCGAAGAUGUGUUUUGGAGGAUAUUUGGAUCGAAUUCGAUGGUGAGGAUUGAGAGGGACGGCCUGGACGCGUGGUGCCUGGGAUUUGUGGAUGGUGGGAUCAAUGCGAGGACGUCUAUAGUGAUUGGUGGGCAUCAGAUGGAGGAUAAUUUACUGCAGUUUGAUUUGGAGUCGAAGAUGUUAGGAUUUAGCUCCUCCGUUCUGCUCAAACGGACCACCUGUGCUAACUUCACCUUAAGUUCCAAUUUCGGAUAGGUAACGAGCUAAUUGGGCUUUUCAUUAAUUUUUUAUUUUGGAAAAUUUAUGUAAUUAUACUAGCAGUACCAGAACCUGAAAAUUAGCUCUUAUGUUUAGUUCAGUCUAAAUUAUUGGAUCCUUAUCUUAGUCAGCAAACUUGGUUAUGGUUGAUGAAUGGGUGGUGACGUGGGACGAGGAGGAAUAUAAUUGUAUGGCGGUAGUGGGCUCUGUGCCAUCUCCUCAAAACCAUCUAUUGCCACCACAAUAGAGUUCAAAAUCUUGCCGACAAAAAGGGGUUGGCUUUUUCAUUGCAAGGCCACUUCCUUGUUCCUACACCACCAGCAUUGGCAGGUGCUGGUCCUUUUAGCAUGUUGGGCUUACGCAUGUGAACCAUAAUGAUCUUCACGGUGUGGUCAUCACCAUGGUUUGAUUCAUCACUGUCUUAGUAAAUCAUCCUUAUGUUUCCAGAUUGGGUUAGCUCCAACUGUUUUCAGUCUGGGAUUCUUGGCCAUUUCUUGCAAUUGCUCAUGUUUAGCUCUUUGAAAAUAAUGGAAUCCAUUGGGUUGAGCAUUGCUAUGGUUGCUCAAAAGAGGAUCUUUUUCCCACGAGUUCUGUUCUGCAUUUUUCCCUGCUUUGGCGAACACUUUAUUAUUUACCGGUAUGCGCGGAUAUGUUGGGCUUGAGAUUGUCACCUUUCCCUCAUUUGCUUCUAUGUUGAUAGCGUGCUUACCUACCAAUUUAUAAAAACAGAGCUUAAAAAUACACCAAGACAAACUUCAUUGAAAUAUCUGUGAUUGAAGUGAAUCUUGUGGAGCUCACAACUUUAAACAUGCCAUGGAGUUUUUGCAAGCGUUUCUUAACCUUCUUUUGACAAGUUUCACACACCAUGUUCAUUUUCAAAACACAGAUCUGAGGAGUAACUGGAGCAUGAUCCACUGGAAAUGUCUUUGUAAUCACCUAAGAUUGCAGCCUCCAAACUGCUUGAAUGCCUUUUUUAAUAGUCUAUCAGGACUCAGAGGCUAUUAGAGAUUACUUGAGAAAUCAAGAGGUGUAGAGUGAUUUUAUAUGCAGAUAAGUGAUCUUUUUCUUAAACACAGAAUAAACUCCUGAUUCAUUGUCAAUUAGAGAUAACUAAGAAAUUGCAUGAGAGAUUUAAUGCAGCCAUCUGUGUUCUAUAUGCUAAUAAAAGCUUUGAUUCUUCUGAUUAAUGAAAUUUGGACAAUAAAAGGGAUUGCAAAAUUUUUACUGAGGAAUCCAGACUAUAAACUCAAACCGGAUUUCUAAAAGAAAACAAAAAAAUAGUUAGAGAAUGUUCAAUUCAGUUAUUGCCAUUUAUUUAAUUUAGUCAAACACGCAUGAUGCAAAUUGAGGUAACUCUCUCAUCUAAACUAGAAGAGAGCCUUCCAUGACAUUAACAGCUUUCCCUCGCAGCAGCA